rnacentral:rRNA from 1 species
CCUACGGGGGGCAGCAGUGGGGAAUAUUGGACAAUGGGGGGAACCCUGAUCCAGCCAUGCCGCGUGUGUGAAGAAGGCCCUCGGGUUGUAUAGCACUUUCAGUGAGGAAGAACGCCUGGUGGUUAAUACCCAUCAGGAAAGACAUCACUCACAGAAGAAGCACCGGCUAACUCCGUGCCAGCAGCCGCGGUAAUACGGAGGGUGCGAGCGUUAAUCGGAAUUACUGGGCGUAAAGCGCGCGUAGGUGGCUUGAUAAGCCGGUUGUGAAAGCCCCGGGCUCAACCUGGGAACGGCAUCCGGAACUGUCAAGCUAGAGUGCAGGAGAGGAAGGUAGAAUUCCCGGUGUAGCGGUGAAAUGCGUAGAGAUCGGGAGGAAUACCAGUGGCGAAGGCGGCCUUCUGGACUGACACUGACACUGAGGUGCGAAAGCGUGGGUAGCAAACAGGAUUAGAUACCCCAGUAGUC